rnacentral:rRNA from 1 species
UGAGGAAUAUUGGUCAAUGGGCGAGAGCCUGAACCAGCCAUGCCGCGUGCAGGAUGACUGCCCUAUGGGUUGUAAACUGCUUUUCUGUGGGAAGAAAAGCGAGGAUUUGUUCCUUGCUUGACGGUACCACAGGAAUAAGCAUCGGCUAACUCCGUGCCAGCAGCCGCGGUAAUACGGAGGAUGCAAGCGUUAUCCGGAUUCAUUGGGUUUAAAGGGUGCGCAGGCGGGGUGAUAAGUCAGUGGUGAAAGCCCGGAGCUUAACUUCGGGAUUGCCAUUGAAACUGUCACUCUUGAGUGCAGUCGGAGACGGCGGAAUGAGUUAUGUAGCGGUGAAAUGCAUAGAUAUAACUCAGAACACCGAUCGCGAAGGCAGCUGUCUAGACUGCUACUGACGCUGAGGCACGAAAGCGUGGGGAGCAAACA